rnacentral:rRNA from 1 species
GGGGGGUGGAUGUCGGAUUAUUGGGCGUAAGAGCUCGUAGGCGGUUUGUCGCGUCUGCCGUGAAAGUCCGGGGCUCAACUCCGGAUCUGCGGUGGGUACGGGCAGACUAGAGUGAUGUAGGGGAGACUGGAAUUCCUGGUGUAGCGGUGAAAUGCGCAGAUAUCAGGAGGAACACCGAUGGCGAAGGCAGGUCUCUGGGCAUUAACUGACGCUGAGGAGCGAAAGCAUGGGGAGCGAACAGGAUUAGAUACCCUGGUAGUCCAUGCCGUAAACGUUGGGCACUAGGUGUGGGGGACAUUCCACGUUUUCCGCGCCGUAGCUAACGCAUUAAGUGCCCCGCCUGGGGAGUACGGCCGCAAGGCUAAAACUCAAAGGAAUUGACGGGGGCCCGCACAAGCGGCGGAGCAUGCGGAUUAAUUCGAUGCAACGCGAAGAACCUUACCAAGGCUUGACAUGAACCGGAAAGACCUGGAAACAGGUUCCCCACUUGUGGUCGGUUUACAGGUGGUGCAUGGUUGUCGUCAGCUCGUGUCGUGAGAUGUUGGGUUAAGUCCCGCAACGAGCGCAACCCUCGUUCCAUGUUGCCAGCACGUGAUGGUGGGGACUCAUGGGAGACUGCCGGGGUCAACUCGGAGGAAGGUGGGGACGACGUCAAAUCAUCAUGCCCCUUAUGUCUUGGGCUUCACGCAUGCUACAAUGGCCGGUACAAAGGGUUGCGAUACUGUGAGGUGGAGCUAAUCCCAAAAAGCCGGGUCUCAGUUCGGAUUGGGGUCUGCAACUCGACCCCAUGAAGUCGGAGUCGCUAGUAAUCGCAGAUCAGCAACGCUGCGGUGAAUACGUUCCCGGGCCUUGUACACACCGCCCGUCAAGUCACGAAAGUUGGUAACACCCGAAGCCGGUGGCCUAGCCCCUUGUGGGAGGGAGCUGUCGAAGGUGGGACUGGGCGAUUGGGACUAAUCGUAACAAGGUAAC